GGGCCGGGUCUCCAGGGAGGACCUGAUUUUUCUUCACCCAUAGUUAGGGAGGCGCAAUCGCCCUGGCUUUGGGGCUGGGGCCUCCGGGGAGGUUCCGGUAGGGGCGUUGGAGAGGCCGCUCUUUUUGCAAGGCCCGAGACGGCGGGCCCUGCGCAGGCCGCCCUAUUCCGCGCCCUCAGGGCGUCAGUAUCCGCCUGAGGCCGGAUACCCCAGCUGGGCCCGGAUGCCGUCGAUGGGCCCGGAGCAUCCUCGGCGCUGCCCUCCCAGAGCCCCGCAGAGGCUGAGGUGGCGCGGGGGGCGGGCCCGGCUCCGCGAGAAGCAGCGGCAGCGAGGGCUGGAGGACCCGGGCUACGGGGCUCUGGGGCGUCUGGCCUGGGUGGGACUGAGCCCAUUCGGGGGGACUCCGGGGUUCUGGUGUAGGUAGAUCCGGGGCAGGCUCAGGACCAAGUCCCUCUCCUUCCACCAAGGAGCGCCCAGAGGCCGGCGGGAGCUCCAGGUUCACCUCCUCCUCCUCCAGGAAAUCCCACUUCCAACUGGAUGUCUGGAUGAACUACUGAAAGCUGCUGAGUGUCCUGCAGCAGGGUCGGUGGACCUGGGUGUCUGUCUGGACACAUCCUCCAGUGGCCUGGACCUGCCCAUGAAGGUGGUGGACAUGUUCAGGAGCUGUUUGCCUGCGUGUGCUGUGAACUUCAAGUGAGCCAAGAGCUGGUUAGAGCUGCAAGGACACCGCCUGCACAGGAUGCCCGGGGCUGGGCAUUACCUGCUGCAAUGACAACAUCUGGCUGGAUGGCAGAGAGCUGACAGACCGUCGCGACGUCCCAGUCCAGCUGGGCCACUGUCACCCUGGGGCUGUCUAAGUUGGCAGUGAUAUCUGCACCUAAUGAGAGGCCAUUGAGAAGGACAUUCCCUCAGAGCUGCUAGAGGACCCAGCUGUGACAGUCCCUGAAGAUGUAUGCCCGGGGGUGGCACAUCUUGCAGAUGGCCAGGCCUGUGAGGCCAGCACCACUGCCAAGCUCUAGGACAGUCCUGGUGGGAGGAAAGGGGGUCAUGUCUGCGACUGCACCAGGGUAAGCCUGCCUCGGUGCCCUGCCCUGUGCCCUGAGGUCACCUAUCAGUGAAGGCUGCUGGGUUCUCGAUGGCCCAUUCUGCAAGGUAGAGGGCGGCAUCCCAUGUGACCAGGACUGUGAUGCCGUGGGAGAUGAUGGCUGUGCUCUUGGAGAGUGUGACUGAGCCUCCCGAGGGCAGCACCAAGAGAAGGCGAGAGAGUCAGUCCAGCGAUCAGAAGGCAAGUGGCUUAGAAGACAAGCAGCCAUCCACCACAUGGCUGAAUAAACCAUGACAGGACAAAUCGCCACUCAGCAAUGAGAAGCAGCUAACUGUUGACAUGCCAACAGCUUGCACAGGCCUCAAGGGUGUCACGUGGCAUGAAAGACACUCAUCUCAGGCCACACAGGAUUCCAUUCAUUGAACAUUCCUGAGACAAUGGAAUUCUGGCGAUGGAGCACAGGUCAGUUGUGGCCAGGGGCCGGGUGUGGCUAUGAAGGGGUGGCUGCCUUGUGAUGAUUCAAUAUGCUAUGUUUUUCCUUUG
rnacentral:lncRNA from 1 species